GGGUGCGCAGGUGAGAUUUUAUGCUGCUCUUUUCUGAGAAGCUCUGAAGGCAUAAAGGGCAUUGAAAUGGCUUCUCACCUGUGUGAGUGCGUAGGUGAGAUUUCAGGUAGGCCUUUUGUGAGAAGCUCCGAAGGCAUGAAGGGCACUGAAAUGGCUUCUCACCUGUGUGGGUGCGCAGGUGUUCAUUCAGGUGGACCUUUUGUGAGAAGCUCUGAGAGCAUGAAGGGCACUGAUAUGGCUUCUCACCUGUGUGAGUGCGCAGGUGGACUUUCAGGUGGGCUUGUUGUGAGAAGCUCUGAGAGCAUAAAGGGCACUGAAAUGGCUUCUCGCCUGUGUGGGUGCGCAGGUGGGUUUUUAGGUGGGCCUGUUGUGAGAAGCUCUGAGAGCAUGAGGGGCACUCAAAUGGCUUCUCGCCUGUGUGGGUGCGCAGGUGAACGUUUAGGUUGUAUCUGUUUGACAAGCUCCUAUGGCAUGAAGGGCACUGAAAUGUCUUCUC
rnacentral:lncRNA from 1 species